AGACAAAUAACCCUAUUAAAAAUGGGGUUCAAUGCCAGAGUAACGGAGAGACUUUGACAGCCCAGGUUAUCACAGUGCCUGCUGUUGCCACUCAGCUCUCCUAUAUGU
ensembl:snoRNA LOC120101249 small nucleolar RNA SNORA44